rnacentral:rRNA from 1 species
AGGGGGAUAACUACUGGAAACGGUAGCUAAUACCGCAUGAUGUCGCAAGACCAAAGUGGGGGACCUUCGGGCCUCACGCCAUCGGAUGUGCCCAGAUGGGAUUAGCUAGUAGGUGGGGUAAUGGCUCACCUAGGCGACGAUCCCUAGCUGGUCUGAGAGGAUGACCAGCCACACUGGAACUGAGACACGGUCCAGACUCCUACGGGAGGCAGCAGUGGGGAAUAUUGCACAAUGGGCGCAAGCCUGAUGCAGCCAUGCCGCGUGUGUGAAGAAGGCCUUAGGGUUGUAAAGCACUUUCAGCGAGGAGGAAGGCAUCUGUAGUUAAUAGCUGCAACGAUUGACGUUACUCGCAGAAGAAGCACCGGCUAACUCCGUGCCAGCAGCCGCGGUAAUACGGAGGGUGCAAGCGUUAAUCGGAAUUACUGGGCGUAAAGCGCACGCAGGCGGUUUGUUAAGUCAGAUGUGAAAUCCCCGAGCUUAACUUGGGAACUGCAUUUGAAACUGGCAAGCUAGAGUCUUGUAGAGGGGGGUAGAAUUCCAGGUGUAGCGGUGAAAUGCGUA